GUUUUAAAGAUUUCUUCGCAUGAGCGCAGCUGUUGCAAUAAGAUGACUGAUUGGGAGGUAGAGGCACCGAUGACGGUGAGGCAUUUCUCAGUUGAUGCAUACAUUUUCCUUUUAAUUUUAAGUACACAUUUGUACAUUUGGUUUUUUGGCCUUUUUUUUUUUAAGAUAAAAUGUCUCUUACAUUUAUACUUUGCUCAUUAUUUAUUGAGAUAAGGAAAGAAAUGUCUGACAGGAUUUUUAUUUUUCUGCAUAUCUAUAAAACACCACAUUAUUGGCCUCUUGCCUUCAAAAGACAGAUUUGGGUAGAUCUUAUCUCCUUUGGACAGUCAGAUAAUUCCUAAGUCUUAGAAGCAGAUGGGUUUUUGUUGUUGUUUUGACAUUGGAAUAACUAGGGGGAAAUCUGCAUAUUGGUUUUCUUGGAGUUAAGAAUAAAAGUAAAUUUCCAUCAUAGUGUGUCUGGAACCCCAAUGUACACUCCGCUGCGGUGCACUAGUAUCCUUUUAGGUGUAUUUUUAUUUAGGGAGACAAUUAGUCUUAAAUGGUAGUAUAAGUUCCCCAAGCCCCUGUCUCUAUAGCCAAUCUGGGUUGGGUAGAAAGUGGAAGACUGUGCCUACAAUUUUACUAUUUGGUCAUUUUCCCUUACCAAUUUUUAGGUGUUUUUUUUUGGGGGGGGGGAUUGUCAGUAUUGUCUGUGCCCACUGGCAGGUUUAGGGAUUCAAUAAAAACUCACAAGUUUGAGGGUUUUUGUCCCUUUGACAACUCGGUGUUAUGAAGCAACAAUAAACUGAAGUCUGACUUCAUGACUCUUAAUUACUGUUUCUGUUAAAAUCUGAAAAGCAUUGGUUUUUAUUUGUGUCUGUAGAGACAUUUAAAAAAUGAAGCCCGUCAAAUAGGAAGUAAAGCUUGUGCACAGCCACCAGCCCUACCCUUUUUAGGACAGUCUUACCAAAUAGCCCACGCUGGUUCUGAACUCACGAUCCUUCUGCUUCAGCCUUGUGAGCGCUGGGAUUUCAGGCAGAUGACACCAUGCUCACCACCAUCUGCAGUAUGUGUGGCUUUUCGCUGAAAUGGUUUCUUUUGAAGAUGAUUACUUUUUAUUGUAUCCAAGAAUAAGAAUCAUCUCAAAUGAACAAGGACAAUUCUGGAAGGGCUACACAGCAUUUCGUGCAUCUUGUUCAGAAACGAGGCCAGAAUAGUAAGUUAACUGUAGUGAGUUAAGAGGUACUUUGGCUCAUUCUGUUUUCAGUGAGUCUCUGGAAAAUGAUAAAGGAAAGGAGAAUGGGAUAUCUAGACUCAGUCUCCUGCUUAGAGUCAGAGCCUGAAUGUGACCAAAGAACCACUCCUUACUACUUUUCUAGUUAAACAGAACUUGGACCAUAGGUUUCUAGUAGUGAUGUUCAAAUGGCAUCAAUGUUCAAGACACUAUUAUUAGUAAUUACAAAUAUUCAACAACUCAGAAUGUAUGAGAACUUGUUUGGCACGUACGGCAUUAAUGUGGGUCAUUCCUUCUCUCAUCUUCCUCCCCUUGUGUUUUUUCCCAUGUAUUUAUUUUGCCUAACAGCAGAAGAUGGAUACAAUUCUCCCAUGCUACUUGGAUACAUGGUCCCCUUAGACUCUCAUGAGCUUCAGUGUGGGAGCUUGAAAUUUAGUUCCUAAAUUUCUUAUGAUUGUCUUUUUUCUUUUCUUCCUGACCCCUUGCCAUUCUGCAGUUUCCCCUUGACUUACCCAAUCUGUAACAGUGACAGUUUGCUGCUUCUAAACAGAGCAUUCAAAUGAAUUCGCUUAGCCAAUGACUUCUGUGAAGUUGCCUUUUCUAAUGGCGUUAUUACUCAGUGAUGCACAGAUGUGGUAUUUGCCCUACUGGCAGGCAAGCAAAGGUCUGGCAAAGAAUGAUAACCUGCUAUUUCUUUAAGGAGCGCCAAAGACUUGUGCUUUACUCUGUUUUGGUUUUAGGGGAAAUAGUAGCCAUUUUGAUUAUGAAAUCUGGUAGUAUUUGUAAGUUGAUUGUACUGUGUAAAUGUCUAAAGUUAGCUGUUAAGGGUUAGCUGGCCUUAUAAAAUGUAAAAGGAAUGAAAAUUUAUCAGUUUCUCUAAACCAGUAAAUAUCAUCCUUGACAAUAUUUGUUUAAGCAACUCACUCUCCCUUUGGGGAUCUCUUGAUGUGAUACUAUCUUCUGUGUCUCUCUGUCCUUUCACUCGUGCCUACAGGACAAUGGACUUUCACUAUGUCAAGUCCUGGGUCUGGGGAUCCCUCCUGAGCUUGACGCUUGUGAGAAACAAUUAACUAGUUACUUAGUACCCUCUCGGCUUAUGUUCAGGGACAGCUUAGUUUCACUACAUGGGAUUCAUUUGCUAUUACUUUUAUGUACAAAUGGAGGUAGAAUGAAAUUUCACUAUAUUUUUCACUUGGGCUUUUAAAGAAUCAAGUAAAGAGUUCAAUAUGUAAAAUCUUUGUGUAAAAACCAUCUAUGAUGAUUUAUUAAAAGAUAUGCCUAAUUAGUUUUCAAGAGGAGUUAAUGACCUUGCAAAUUAACUGCGGUAUUUCACGAUCACACUCUUGCACUAUAAAAGGUUGGAUAGUGUCAAAAUCUUAAUUGUUAAUAUAUGCUGAUAGUGUUGCAAAGGGAUCUCAUCCCUGAAAAUAGAACUCAGAUUGGACAACCUCACUGAGACAACAAGCUGUCAACUACUGACACCAUUUUACCUGCAUGCUUGUUUUGCAGACGAAACACAUUGAAGUCUACCUUAGACAGCUAUGGCUUUUUUUUUUUUAAUAGCUCAGCUUUUUACAUAUUCCUGCUGAAAUGACUUGCUGGGAGUUUUUGGUAAAUUGUGCUAACAUACUUUUUUAGUGUUCUCAAUCAGCUUUUCUGAGCCACUUCAAAGAGCUGGUUUGGUUUUAUUUUUUCAAAAGGUAUAAGAAGUAACAUUAUUUGAAAUUUUAAGAUUCUAUUUCUGUAAUUGCUAAAAGUGUUUUUAUAAGUAACAGAUUUUAAUUGAUUAGUAAUUCUAGUUACAUUAAUAAAGAAUAGGAAACUGCCACCCCAGGAGCAAGUGACACCUUCAAGUAUUCUCAGUAAGUAGGUUUCAGUACUACACUGAAUAAGUGGGCAAAGAACCCUUGGAAUCCCAUUGUGAGAAAGGGACUUCCCUUAGCACUGGAAUUGUUCUUAGAGCCUCUGGAUUUCAGACAAACACUGAAUUUCCCUGAACUUAUCCUUGAGCAAAAUAGCCUUCAUUUUCACAAGAAAGUAAGGCAUUGUAACCCAAGGUGGAAAACUUAACUUUAAGACAAUACUGUGUCAGAAAAACGUGUAUUUAGAAAAGUGAAAUCCUGUGGAGUUUGUUGUCCUAGUGUAUAUUAUAUAGUAGAUAAGCGACUUUUCUUUUGUAUUGAAGACUCAUUCUGGUUAGUUCAUUUGUUUUUGUUUGGUGUUUUGUUUUGUUUUGUUUUGUUUCUGUCUUUAAUGCUACAUAUGUAGACAGAGCUCACAAGUCUUUGGCUCCUGUGUUGGGUUGUACACUCAGAGUCAUCUUAUAACUGGAAACUGUCAGGUGGUCGAAGCUCCAGUGAGCAGGAAAGGUGAGGAAAGGAUGCAAGACUGUGGAUAGUGCUCUGGGGUUUGUGUUUGGUUUUGGUCUCCUUUUAACAGUUGCCAUUUUUAUAAUUUAUUGGUGUAGCCUCUCUUUGUUUGUUGGCUGGCAUUUCACAGUAUAUCCAAACCACCCCAUAAAUACAGAGACAGCCCUGAGAGACUUUUUUCCCCUAACUUUCACUUAUCCUCUCUUAUCCUUUGUCUUCCCACCUUUCUGUUAAAAGAAAAAAAAAAAAAAAACUUCAUCAGUCAUACGCCUCAGUACCUCUAUUGAAUCUGACUUUUCAGGAGUAAUGCAAAAAAUGAACUAGGGUUCUCAGCAAACCUUUCACCCACCUAAACGAUUUCCAGUUGUGAGGUUCCUCUUGGUGUGUGGUCUUUUCCCUUUACCCCUGCAACCCUUCCUUGCCUAUGGUCAAUUGGUCUCACGACUCAUACCAGUCGCCUGAGACAUUCUGCACUCAUUAUCACCUUUUUGGGUGGAUUUUUCUUAGGUUUUUGUUUUGUUUUUAAAAAAUAACUUUAACAUUGAUUCAUAUUUGCUUGGGAUAGAGCUUAUGUAAUUUACCAAUCGUAUUGAUUGUAUGUGAUUGUGCCCUGCAGAGGUAUACUUAACACGAGUAAUCUUAAGUUAGUUAAGGAGCCGUGAGAUUUGAGUCAGAAUAGAGAUAGCUUUAUGGGUAGUGUGAAUUCCCUUCUCAGAAUCAGUGCUACGGAAAAUGCCAUUUUAAAAGGUUUUCCUACAUUCCUGUAUUUUCCCAUUGCCUCAGCUCCCUAUUGUUUUCUGACAUUUUCUACCCACCUGGGUAGAAAAAUUUUAAACCAUGAGGUUUUUUAAAUUGAGCUGACUUUUAAGUGAAUGGACUUUGUGAGAUUUUUACAUUUUCCAAAUGUUUCCAGUUGAGAACAAAUGAUGGGUCGAACUUCACCAGCCUGUGACCAACUCCCUACUCUCUGGCCAACAGUCUCCUUGACAGUGAGGUUUUGUCUGAAGGCAUUAUCUUCUGAAAGUUGUUUUUGUAUAGGAGAAAAAGAACCUUGCUUGAAAUGGAACAUUCCCUUUCUUGUUUAAUCUGCUUAGUAUUUCCAUGUUUAAACAGCUUUCAGAACAAAUGAGGUGGGGAAAAAGAACUAGGAGUGUGUUUAGGGCUCCCGAAGUCUGGAUCUGAAUGCGUAUAUGUACCUCUUGUUGCAUAUUCUUGAGAAGAUUAAGGCCUUCUCUCUUAAUUUUGUAUUAUUUGUGUGCAUGUUGUUUAUAUUAAAGAUGGCACAUUUUGUUAAAAUGCUAUUUCCUUUCUUACCUUGGAAACUGACUCAGCCUCUCGUUGCUCCUAAGUAGGGUUUAAGGCUCUUGUAAGUUGCAGAUAAAAGGAUUCAUUUAACAAAUAGAAGGAGGUGAUUCACCUUUUGGAUUGUAAAUAUAUGAAAGUGUCUAAAGGUCUUUAUCUGCUUUCUGUCAGCAUUUAUAUUAAAUGAUAAAUUAAUGAGGAGGAACAGUGUGUAGUCUUUUUCUUGUAAAUGAGUCUGUCAUCUCAUUCUCGUCUUGGGAUUGUUGAUGAAAAUUUUAAAAGCUAACUUAUGCAAGUAAGCACACUGGGCAUCAGUUCGCUCUAACGGAAUUGGUGUAGACUUGAGUAUCUGCAGUGGAGAGGCAGGCCUGGUU
ensembl:lncRNA